rnacentral:tRNA from 1 species
GCGCCAUUAGCUCAACUGGUAGAGCAUCUGACUCUUAAUCAGGUGGUUGUAGGUUCGAUUCCUACAUGGCGCA